rnacentral:rRNA from 1 species
GAUGAACGCUAGCGGCAGGCCUAACACAUGCAAGUCGAGGGGUAGAGUUCUUCGGGACUUGAGACCGGCGCACGGGUGCGUAACGCGUAUGCAAUCUACCUUAUACAGGGGAAUAGCCCAGAGAAAUUUGGAUUAAUGCCCCAUAGUGUUAUCGAAUCGCAUGGUUUGAUAACUAAAGUUCCAACGGUAUAAGAUGAGCAUGCGUCCCAUUAGUUAGUUGGUAAGGUAACGGCUUACCAAGACAAUGAUGGGUAGGGGUCCUGAGAGGGAGAUCCCCCACACUGGUACUGAGACACGGACCAGACUCCUACGGGAGGCAGCAGUGAGGAAUAUUGGACAAUGGGCGCAAGCCUGAUCCAGCCAUGCCGCGUGCAGGAUGACGGUCCCUAUGGAUUGUAAACUGCUUUUAUACAGGAAGAAACACUCCGACGUGUCGGAGCUUGACGGUACUGUAAGAAUAAGGAUCGGCUAACUCCGUGCCAGCAG